UUAUUUAUAUUUUUUAUUUACUUUUCAACAAUCCAUGUCUAUGUUUUACAAUAUUGGUGUAACAAUAACAAUUUAACUAGAAACCUUCAUUUAUAAGUUAUAUGUUACAAAACAUGUGACAUGUUCUAUUAUCUUGAUGGCCACCUUUCUGAAUGAAAAAAAAAAAAACGUCAGAUAAAUAUCUAAAGUAACUUUAAAAUUAUUUAUAUAAAUGUCAACCAUGAUGAACGUCAGUUUGGUUAACCUGUUGUCACUAUGGAAGAUUGACACCAAUCAAUCUCCUGUUACUUUGAAACAGGUGCCCUACAUGAUAAAUUUUUAAUUUUGAAUUAAAAAAAAACAUCACAAAGGGAUUUAUUUUAGCUUAUUCAUAUAAGCCAUAAACACAAGUAACAGAGGAGUAAACUGGAGUUAAUCUUGGCGAUGUAAUGGUAAUGUGAUGUAAAAAAACUUAUUUUUUUUCUAAAAAUAGAUCUAAAUUUGAAUGUAGGUUUAUUUAUUGACACUUGCUGUAUCACAAGUUUCACUUUUUAUCCAAUUGAUACAAAUUUAUUCAUAAAAUGGUAAUGGCCUAUGCAAAAGUAAAUUAUAUUUUUAAUCUUUUCACAAAGCACAUACUUUAUAUUUUCAUCAAACAAAGGUUCAAUAUUUUGUAUCCAAUUACCCUCAACAUUGUGAGAAGGCUAUUGUCAAACAGUCACUUUCGGUUUACUUGGUUUACUUUGGGUGGUCCAUUUACUAAGGGAAAACUUUUUAUAAUUUCUUAUUAAGAGCUAUCUAAUGCUACAUGAUUGCAGUAUUCUUAUAAAAAAAAAUGGCACAAUAUCUUUAAUUAUAUAUAACUAAAAUAUGGUAUUUAUAAGAAUAACCAAGAGAUCUUUCACCUACUCCUCACAUAUUCCAUCCUUCUCGUUCAGUUUACAUACACUGAUUAAACAUUGCAUAAUACUGUAUACUUCAUAAAUAAUGUGAACAUGUUACCUUAACAAUAUAUUUCCCAGAUAAUAUACAUAUACAUGUAACUGUUUGAUGAUAUUGAAAUCAUAGUUUACCUCUAGCUGCUGUUGUGUUCUAGAUAUUUCAGGAUCUUCCCUAUAGAAUUUUGUACAUAAAAGGUAUUUUAGAAAACUAAUGUUAAUUUCAAGCACUCAUUAUAUUUUCAAAGGGCUGAAAUUGUCCUGUAAAAUGAAAUUUUUAGUGAUACCAUACAAAUCGAUAUCUGUCAAAAUAUAAUGCCUUAUGUCCAAAGGUGUUAAUUAGCGGUCACCAUAAACAUGUCAUUUUAACUGUUAUACAAACAAGUAUGUUUACUCAGCUUUAAUCUCUUUUGAAAAUGAUUAGUUGACAGAAGAAAUACUACCGAUUUGAAUUUUUAUGAUUAGGUCUGCAUCUUUUUAAAAUUCUUACUUUCAAAGUUCGAGACAUCAGAGUCAAUUUACAUUAUUCUACUUCGACGGGACUAUAAAAUUUACUCGACUUAACCGAGUAUUCGAAUCAACCAAGUUCGACUCAUCAGAGGUAAUUAUGCAUUGAUCAAACGGGAAUUUUACCGGGACCGAGAAAUUACUUCGACUCAUCCGAGUUUUCGACACAACCGAGUUCGACACAACAAGGUUCGACUGUAUCUAACAUUCAAUCAAAGUAGGAUGUUUUGAUACAAUAUUUGAAAACAAUGAUUCAUAAAAUGCCAAAUUUAAAAGACCUAAAGGUUGUCUGCUACUGAUAUUCACAAAUAACAUCUUGUAAUGUUCCCUAAAUUCAGAAUGAAAGAUUAAAAUAUCAAAUUUUAGAAAAUACAUUUGUAUACUACUUGGUUUUACAUUCAAGCAUUGUAAAAACUGACUUUUUAAACUGUAUCUAAAAUCUAAAAAUAAAUAAUAACAAUUAUUUGUUUUAAGGUCAUUAAACCAUAAAACUGAAUUUAACUGCACUGCUGUUGUUAUUUUCUUUUCUAAUAUUAAUAUGCAGAAAAGUUCAAAAUAUAAAACAGAUUGUAUAUAUAUUAUUUAAUACACACAUAUAUUUGAGACAGAAUAUAGAGUCAAUUGACAUCAUAUAGAAAAAAAUGUAAUUUAUUUAAACCAGUAAUGAGUAACCUUAUAUAUUAAAUGUUAGAUGAUAAGAAAUUUAAUUGAUACUUAGAUGCAGGUAAGUGAAUUUGUGAUGAAAUUUUAUACAGGAUGAAUUCAAAUGAAAUGCUUCUAAAUAACUUGUUAAGAUCUACAUUAAAAAUAAACUGAAUGAUAUUAACAUCAACAAAUUUUAAUCAAGCUUAUUCCACGAAGAAGUUUUUGUCUUUUUGAAACUUAUAAUAUAAACUUCUGUUUUUCUCAAUUAAAGGUUACAAAUUUUAACAAAGCUGCUGAUCAUGAUAUUAAGGAAUGUUCUCUUAGGGCUAUUCCAUUAAAAUAUAUGUGGGUUGGUAGGAAAGGAAGUCUAAUUAUUGAAUGUGGGUCCUGGGUCUUUUUUAGUACGCUUCUAUUACCUUUAAGCAAAAAUGUUCUUGGUUUGAGGUAUACUUUGAAAGUCCUUUCCUACCCUCCCAAAUACAUUUUAAUGGAAAAGCCUUUAUAUAAAACUUAACUAACUUAACUGAAAAGUAAACAAUAACAUGCAACUUGAUAUAAAAUUUGUAUCUUACUUUUAAAGACAUAGAGAAACUUUACAACCUAACUGAAAAAAAUAAUUCACUUGUUUUCAGAAUUCUGUUUUACACAUUGACUACAAACAUUACACAAACAUUUGGGGUAAUGGCACACACUUUCUUAGUACACAAAAUUUCACACAAUAUUCAAGAAAACACAGGCAAACAGAAAUGUAUCCUAUUUAUAAAACAAAUUUAUUUUCGACAGAACUUUUACAAUGGUAGACUUAAAAAAAAAUUCAAAGUCUUAAAAAUUUGUAUACAGAUCUACAUGUUCUAGUUUCAUGCAAAAAGUAAUUAAAACCAGUGAGAUCACCCUUUAAUAUACCAGCUACCUGAAAACACGCAUUCACAAAAAAUAUGAAAAAAAUGUGUACACUCUCUACAGAAAUAUCACAUUUGAAAUAAGAAAUAUUGUCUAGAAGAAAAUCAAAAUAAAUUAACAUAUGAAAAAACUAACUUUAAAACUCAACACAACAUUUCAUACAUUAUUAGUUGAUUUAUAAUAUAUUACCUUUAUUUACAAAAUGUGCAGUAAUCAAUACAAAAUUUGCAACUAAUUAUUUUCUAGGCCACUUUUCUAAGAUAAAAUUAACUUCCAUCAAAUUUUCUAAAUUGAAAUAUGUACAGCUACUUAAAAAUAUUUACAAUAUAAGUUCAUUGUGAAAUGGAUGUUAAUGUAUUCAAGAAUAGAAUUUGACAUGCAGAAUAAAAAAAAAAACACGAACAAGUGAAAACAAUCUAUACCCGAA
rnacentral:lncRNA from 1 species